rnacentral:rRNA from 1 species
GACGAACGCUGGCGGCGUGCUUAACACAUGCAAGUCGAACGGAAAGGCCCUGCUUUUGUGGGGUGCUCGAGUGGCGAACGGGUGAGUAACAAGUGAGUAACCUGCCCUUGACUUUGGGAUAACUUCAGGAAACUGGGGCUAAUACCGGAUAGGAGCUCCUGCUGCAUGGUGGGGGGUGGAAAGUUUCGGCGGUUGGGGCUGGACUCGCGGCUUGUCAGCGUGUUGGUGGGGUAGUGGCUUACCAAGGCUUUGACGGGUAGCCGGCCUGAGAGGGUGACCGGCCACAUUGGGACUGAGAUACGGCCCAGACUCCUACGGGAGGCAGCAGUGGGGAAAAUUGCACAAUGGGCGGAAGCCUGAUGCAGCAACGCCGCGUGCGGGAUGACGGCCUUCGGGUUGUAAACCGCUUUCGCCUGUGACGAAGCGUGAGUGACGGUAAUGGGUAAAGAAGCACCGGCUAACUACGUG